GGGAGGCCCGACCGGGAAGAUGUCUCCUCUUGGUGCGCGCAGCUUCGCGCGGGGGUCAGCGAUGGGGCAGCGGCCGCCCGAGCUGCGCCGGCCCUGCCCACGGACCGGCUCCCGCAGCCCGACAGCUGCCCGACGGGCCAGCAGGCUCCGAACGUCGACGGAGCCCGGCCGGAGGUUCUGACUCCUGGAAGCAGGGAAUGGAGCAGAGAGGUAGGGCAUGGAGUGAAUCAUAUAACCUGCAUAAACAGCCAUCAACCCUUUCAGGAGGACGUUAGCGAGACAAUUAAAAUAAUGAUACCUUCUAAUUCUAUCAAGGCUUGAACUCCAAGGUAAAAGCGCUACGUCAGUGCAAGGAGACAAGCUGAAGUGCCUGUUAGCGCUAUAUCCAUUUUAAAGAUAGACAACUGAAGAAUAGAAAGGUUAAAGAGCUUGCAUAAUUACUCCAACAGCCGACUGAAACAUCUCACACACAGCUAAAAAGACAGUCUUGCUGUGUCACCCAGCCUGGAGUGCAAUGGC